AAACACCUCAAGCAUGAAUUUAUUCUUACUUGGUAUUGGUCAAGGAUUGAGCUUGCCUUCUUCCUGUCCGAAAUGCAAUGGCGAAGUCCUGUCUUCCAUUCAGUGUAGUAAUCAACGUUAUGUUUCACUUCUGGACAUGAGAGGCUUUUGCUACAAAUCAAAUUCCCCAAUUCUAAA
rnacentral:misc_RNA from 1 species